GGUGCGUAACGCGUAUGCAACCUGCCUUGUACAGGAGGAUAGCCCAUGGAAACGUGGAUUAAUACUCCAUAGUAUAUAAAUAUCGCCUGUUAUUUAUAUUAAAACUUCGGUGGUACAAGAUGGGCAUGCGUAGGAUUAGCUAGUUGGUGAGGUAACGGCUCACCAAGGCGACGAUCCUUAGGGGUUCUGAGAGGAUUAUCCCCCACACUGGUACUGAGACACGGACCAGACUCCUACGGGAGGCAGCAGUGAGGAAUAUUGGUCAAUGGACGAGAGUCUGAACCAGCCAUCCCGCGUGCAGGAUGACGGCCCUAUGGGUUGUAAACUGCUUUUCUAUGCCAAGAAAUCGCCCUACGCGUAGGGUGUUGCCGGUAGCAUAGGAAUAAGCAUCGGCUAACUCCGUGCCAGCAGCCGCGGUAAUACGGAGGAUGCAAGCGUUAUCCGGAUUCAUUGGGUUUAAAGGGUGCGCAGGCGGGCUUGUAAGUCAGUGGUGAAAUACUGCCGCUUAACGGUAGAAUUGCCAUUGAUACUGCAGGUCUUGAAUAUAGUUGAGGUAGGCGGAAUGUGUUGUGUAGCGGUGAAAUGCAUAGAUAUGACACAGAACACCGAUUGCGGAGGCAGCUUACUAAGCUAUGAUUGACGCUGA
rnacentral:rRNA from 1 species